rnacentral:rRNA from 1 species
CGGUUGAUCCUGCCGGAGGUCACUGCUAUUGGGAUUCGACUAAGCCAUGCGAGUCGAGAGGGUUCGGCCCUCGGCAAACGGCUCAGUAACACGCGGAUAAUCUGCCCUUAGGUGGAGGAUAACCUCGGGAAACUGAGAAUAAUACUCCAUAGAUCUAGGAUGCUGGAAUGCACUUAGAUUGAAAGUUCCGGCGCCUAAGGAUGAGUCUGCGGACUAUCAGGUAGUAGUCAGGGUAAAGGCCUGACUAGCCUACGACGGAUACGGGUUGUGAGAGCAAUAACCCGGAGACGAUAUCUGAGACACGAUAUCGGGCCCUACGGGGCGCAGCAGGCGCGAAACCUUCACAAUGUGCGAAAGCGCGAUGAGGGGAUCCCAAGUGCUUGCUCGUAAGAGUAAGCUGUUUUUAUGUCUAAAACGCAUAGAGAGUAAGGGCUGGGUAAGACGGGUGCCAGCCGCCGCGGUAAUACCUGCAGCUCAAGUGGUGACCGCUAUUAUUGGGCCUAAAACAUUCGUAGCCGGUUUGGUAAAUGCCUGGGUAAAUCGUGUAGCUUAACCACACGAAUUCCGGGUAGACUGCCAAACUUGAGACCGGGAGAAGCUAGAGGUACUCCUUGGGUAGAGGUGAAAUUCUGUAAUCCUAGGGGGACCACCAGUGGCGGAGGCGUCUAGCUAGAACGGGUUUGACGGUGAGGAAUGAAGCCCUGGGGCGCAAACCGGAUUAGAUACCCGGGUAGUCCAGGGUGUAAACGCUGCUUGCUUGAUGUU